GACGAACGCUGGCGGCGUGCCUAAUACAUGCAAGUCGAACGAGAGCAACCGGUGCUUGCACUGGUCAAUCUAGUGGCGAACGGGUGAGUAACACGUGGGUAACCUGCUCAUCAGUGGGGGAUAACAUCCGGAAACGGAUGCUAAAACCGCAUAGGUCUUCGAACCGCAUGGUUUGAAGAGGAAAAGAGGCGCAAGCUUCUGCUGACGGAUGGUCCCGCGGUGCAUUAGCUAGUUGGUGGGGUAACGGCUCACCAAGGUCGUGAUGCAUAGCCGAACUGAGGGGGGGAUCGGCCACAUUAGAACGGAGACACGGCCCAAACGCCUACGGGAGGCAGCAGUAGGGAAUCGUCCGCAAUGGACGCAAAUCUGACGGAGCAACGCCGCGUGAGUGAAGAAGGUUUUCGGAGCGUAAAACUCUGUUGUUAGAGAAGAACAAGUGCUAGAGGAACUGUUAGCGCCUUGACGGUAACUAACCAGAAAGCCACGGCUAACUACGUG
rnacentral:rRNA from 1 species